AUUGAACGCUAGCGGGAUGCCUUACACAUGCAAGUCGAACGGAGUGGCGAACGGGUGAGUAAUGUAUCGGAACGUGCCCAGUAGCGGGGGAUAACUACGCGAAAGCGUAGCUAAUACCGCAUACUAUUGGAGCGGCCGAUAUCGGAUUAGCUAGUUGGUGGGGUAACGGCUCAACAAGGCGACGAUCCGUAGCUGGUUUGAGAGGACGACCAGCCAACCGGGGAAGGGGAAACCGCCCCGACCUCCACGGGAGGCCAGAGGGGGGAAAUUUUGGCAAAUGGGGGAACCCUGAUCCAGCCAUCCCGCGUGUGCGAUGAAGGCCUUCGGGUUGUAAAGCACUUUUGGCAGGAAAGCGGUACCUGCAGAAUAAGCACCGGCUAACUACGUGCCAGCCGCCGCGGUAAUUC
rnacentral:rRNA from 1 species